GGGCACACCCGGAUCCAUGCCGAACCCGGAAGUUAAGCCUGUGAGCGCCGAUGGUACUGUGUGGGGUACACACGGGAGAGCAGGUCUCUGCCAGAA
rnacentral:rRNA from 1 species